AUACGUAGGGAGCGAGCGUUGUCCGGAUUUACUGGGUGUAAAGGGCGCGUAGGCGGGGAUGCAAGUCAGGAGUGAAAUGCAUGGGCUUAACCCAUGAACUGCUUUUGAAACUGCAUUUCUUGAGUACUGGAGAGGCAGGCGGAAAUUCCUAUGUAAGGGGGAAAAGCGUAGAUAUUAGGAGGAACACCAGUGGCGAAGGCGGCCUGCUGGACAGCAACUGACGCUGAGGCGCGAAAGCGUGGGGAGCAAACAGGAUUAGAUACCCUGGUAGUCCACGCUGUAAACGAUGAAUACUAGGUGUGGGGGGACUGACCCUCUCCGUGCCGGAGUUAACACAAUAAGUAUUCCACCUGGGGAGUACGGCCGCAAGGUUGAAACUCAAAUGAAUUGACGGGG
rnacentral:rRNA from 1 species